rnacentral:misc_RNA from 1 species
UGCUUUUGAUUUUUAGAGCACAAUGCAAAGGCUUAUUUUCUUCAACUUUUCAUUUUGAUCUUAGUAGUAAUUAGGCAGAUGGUGUUCUUGAAAUCUGACUUUUAAGGAUAAACUUUCCUUGUUGGAUCCAAAUCAGUCAUAAAGAGGUCAUAAUGAGCAAGGAGAAAAAUGCAAAUAAAAUAAGGAAAGAAAAAAAAAAGGGAGAA